rnacentral:rRNA from 1 species
UACGUAGGGGGCGAGCGUUGUCCGGAAUCAUUGGGCGUAAAGCGCGUGUGGGCGGCCCGGUAAGUCCGCUGUGAAAGUCCAGGGCUCAACCCUGGGAUGCCGGUGGAUACUGUCGGGCUCGAGUCCGGAAGAGGCGAGUGGAAUUCCUGGUGUAGCGGUGGAAUGCGCAGAUAUCAGGAGGAACACCAAUAGCGAAGGCAGCUCGCUGGGACGGUACUGACGCUAAGGCGCGAAAGCGUGGGGAGCGAACAGG